AUGGGUUGUUCUUUCAAAAUUGCAACUAAAUCUAAGCAAAGGAACUCGACCAAAAAAAAUAGCAAAAUAUUUCAAACAACAACAGAAGUGAAAUCAAAGAACAAAUCUAGCAGGAAAAAAUGUGGUUUGUUUAUGCGUGUGAAGAAAAAGAGAAGGAAUUGGGAAGACAACAAGCAUCAGGUUCUUGUCCUUAUUGUGGUGGAAAAGUUGAAGCUAUGGAUGUUGAGGUGCAAUGGAGAUUUUGCUUUUUGCCUAUGUGUUUUAAGAUUAAGAGAAAAUAUUUGUGUGCUUCUUGUGCUAGAUGUUUAG